rnacentral:tRNA from 1 species
UGGCGCAGUGGUUAAGUGUUUGGCUGCUAACCAAAAGGACGGCAGUUCAAAUCUGCC